rnacentral:rRNA from 1 species
GCUUGUCUCAAAGAUUAAGCCAUGCAUGUCUUAGUGUAAAUAACUCUUAUGAAACUGCGAAUGGCUCAUUAAAUCAGUUAUCAAAUACGUGAUGGUCGCCUACUACAUGGAUAACCGUAGUAAUUCUAGAGCUAAUACAUGCACAAAGGCCCACGCAAGUGGGUUGUGAUUAUUAGAUUCAAACCGGCCUCGUUCUGGUGAUUCAUAAUAAUUGGUCGAACCGCAUGCCCUUGUGGUGGCGGUGAUUCAUCCUUAUUUCUGCCCUAUCAGCUUUGGAUGGUAGGAUAUGGGCCUACCAUGGCGUUAACGGGUAACGGGGAAUUAGGGUUUGAUUCCGGAGAGGGAGCCUUAGAAACGGCUACCACAUCCAAGGAAGGCAGCAGG